UCUGCUGUUUCUUAGUUGAUGUCCUUGUUUUGGUUUAGUACUUUGAGCUGGUGUGAUUGCAAGAGGUAAGAUGGUCACAUGGAAGAAGAAGAUUGCGAUGUAAAACUUGUGAUCUACCUUUACUCUGUUCAGGUUUUACUUCAUAGACUGGUGCAUCAUCUGCCACCUGGCGCGUAACAACGUGAACUUCAUCCUCCCAGUAAUUUCGCAGUUUCCCGGUCCCACCUCUCGGGGUCAGGUUUUUUACGAGGACCCUGCUUCCUGGGAACAGUUAUUGUCGGAGUUGAGUCCGAAGAGAGCAUCGAUGGGCAAUUUUGGUGAGCGUCCGAACAGCAGUUGGAAAGCUUUUUGUCUUUCAGUCAGGGUUUUCAGCAUCUGCAAUAAUGUCCGGUUAAAUCGUUCCACCUGCCCAUUCCCCUGGGGGUGGUAGGGGGUGGUCCUUGAGCCGGCAACGCCGCUGUACUUUUUGAGUUGGGUGGUGGCAUAUGCCUGGGCAAAUCGAGUGAAGUGGUCGACGAUCACCAAAAUGUACUCAUAGCCCCCUUUGCAUUUGUCCAGAUGCAGGAAAGUCAAUGGACACCAAUUCAAAUGGGUGAGUCGUUUUGAGGGG